GUGUCAGCAGCCGCGGUAAUACGUAGGUGGCAAGCGUUGUCCGGAUUUAUUGGGUUUAAAGGGUGCGUAGGCGGUUCUAUAAGUCAGUGGUGAAAUACGGCAGCUUAACUGUCGAGGUGCCAUUGAUACUGUAGGACUAGAGUACUGUUGAGGUAGGCGGAAUGGACGGUGUAGCGGUGAAAUGCUUAGAUAUCGUCCAGAACACCGAUAGCGAAGGCAGCUUACUAAAGAGUAACUGACGCUGAGGCACGAAAGUGUGGGGAUCAAACAGGAUUAGAAACCCGAGUAGUCC
rnacentral:rRNA from 1 species